GAGUUUGAUUAUGGCUCAGGAUGAACGCUAGCGGCAGGCCUAACACAUGCAAGUCGAACGGUAACAGGGAUUGCUUGCAAUCCGCUGACGAGUGGCGCACGGGUGCGUAACGCGUAUACAAUCUGCCUUACACUGGGGGAUAGCCUUUAGAAAUGAAGAUUAAUACCCCAUGGUAUGUGACUGUGGCAUCACAGACACAUUAAAGGUUACGGUGUAAGAUGAGUAUGCGUCCUAUUAGUUAGUUGGUGAGGUAACGGCUCACCAAGGCUACGAUAGGUAGGGGGCCCUGAGAGGGGGAUCCCCCCACACUGGUACUGAGACACGGACCAGACUCCUACGGGAGGCAGCAGUGAGGAAUAUUGGACAAUGGGCGAGAGCCUGAUCCAGCCAUGCCGCGUGCAGGAGACUGCCUAUGGGUUGUAAACUGCUUUUAACGGGAGAAAACACUCCUACGUGGAAGGGCUUGGACGGUACCGUAGAAUAAGCAUCGGCUAACUCCCUGCCACCAGCGCGGUAUCCGAAGGAUGCAAGCGUAUUCCGAAUCAUUGGGUUAAAGGUCCGUAGCGGCCUGUUAAUCAGGGUAAUUUG
rnacentral:rRNA from 1 species